AGUUCGAGCGGGCGUAGCAAUACGUCAGCGGCAGACGGGUGAGUAACGCGUGGGAACAUACCUUUUGGUUCGGAACAACACAGGGAAACUUGUGCUAAUACCGGAUAAGCCCUUACGGGGAAAGAUUUAUCGCCGAAAGAUUGGCCCGCGUCUGAUUAGCUAGUUGGUGAGGUAAYGGCUCACCAAGGCGACGAUCAGUAGCUGGUCUGAGAGGAUGAUCAGCCACAUUGGGACUGAGACACGGCCCAAACUCCUACGGGAGGCAGCAGUGGGGAAUAUUGGACAAUGGGCGCAAGCCUGAUCCAGCCAUGCCGCGUGAGUGAUGAAGGCCCUAGGGUUGUAAAGCUCUUUUGUGCGGGAAGAUAAUGACGGUACCGCAAGAAUAAGCCCCGGCUAACUUCGUGCCAGCAGCCGCGGUAAUACGAAGGGGGCUAGCGUUGCUCGGAAUCACUGGGCGUAAAGGGUGCGUAGGCGGGUCUUUAAGUCAGAGGUGAAAU
rnacentral:rRNA from 1 species